rnacentral:rRNA from 1 species
GCUUACGGCCACACGGCCUGAGUACGCCUGAUCUCGUCCGAUCUCGGAAGCUAAGCAGGGUCGGGCCUGGUUAGUACUUGGAUGGGAGACCGCUGGGAAUACCAGGUGCUGUAAGCU